rnacentral:rRNA from 1 species
GUGGAGCAUGUGGUUUAAUUCGAAGCAACGCGAAGAACCUUACCAAAUCUUGACAUCCUCUGACAGCCAUAGAGAUAUGGUUUCCCUUCGGGGCAGAGUGACAGGUGGUGCAUGGUUGUCGUCAGCUCGUGUCGUGAGAUGUUGGGUUAAGUCCCGCAACGAGCGCAACCCUUAAGUUUAGUUGCCAUCAUUAAGUUGGGCACUCUAGACUGACUGCCGGUGACAAACCGGAGGAAGGUGGGGACGACGUCAAAUCAUCAUGCCCCUUAUGAUUUGGGCUACACACGUGCUACAAUGGACAGGUUACAAAGGGCAGCGACGCCGCGAGGCCAAGCGAAUCCCAUAAAACUGUUCUCAGUUCGGAUUGGAGUCUGCAACUCGACUCCAUGAAGCUGGAAUCGCUAGUAAUCGUAGAUCAGCAUGCUACGGUGAAUACGUUCCCGGGUCUUGUACACACCGCCCGUCACACCACGGAAGUCGAUAACACCUGAAGCCGGUGGGCCAACCUUUUAGGAGGCAGCCGUCGAAGGUGGGAUUGAUGACUGGGGUGAAGUCGUAACAAGG